rnacentral:rRNA from 1 species
AGAGCGAACGUUAGCGGCGGGCCUAACACAUGCAAGUCGCACGAGAAAGUGGCUUCGGCCAUCAGUAAAGUGGCGGACGGGUGAGUAACACGUGGGUAAUCUGCCUCUCAAUGGGGGAUAACAGUCCGAAAGGAUUGCUAAUACCGCAUACGUCCCUCGACACCACGGUGAUGAGGGGGAAAGCCGGCCACUCCAUGGAAGCUGGCGUUGAGAGAGGAGCCCGCGGCCCAUCAGCUAGUUGGCGAGGUAAUGGCUCACCAAGGCUUAGACGGGUAGC